rnacentral:rRNA from 1 species
UCAGUAGCCGGCCUGAGAGGGCGACCGGCCACAUUGGGACUGAGACACGGCCCAAACUCCUACGGGGGGCAGCAGUGGGGAAUAUUGCACAAUGGGGGAAACCCUGAUGCAGCGACGCCGCGUGAAGGACGAAGUAUUUCGGUACGUAAACUUCUAUCAUCAGGGAAGAAAAUGACGGUACCUGACCAAGAAGCCCCGGCUAACUACGUGCCAGCAGCCGCGGUAAUACGUAGGGGGCAAGCGUUAUCCGGAUUUACUGGGUGUAAAGGGAGCGUAGACGGCCAUGCAAGUCUGAUGUGAAAACCCGGGGCUCAACCCCGGGACUGCAUUGGAAACUGUGCGGCUGGAGUGUCGGAGAGGCAAGUGGAAUUCCUAGUGUAGCGGUGAAAUGCGUAGAUAUUAGGAGGAACACCAGUGGCGAAGGCGGCUUGCUGGACGACGACUGACGUUGAGGCUCGAAAGCGUGGGGAGCAAACAGGAU